UACCUUAAGGCACACAAGUGGAACCCCAAACAUAUCUCUAUGAAAAUGGGGCAAGCUUUUGUUUAUGGGAUGGAAACAAGUUGUUCAACGAAAUGUCUCAAAUGCGUUUGAUCAAGCUAGCUAGCUUGUCGCAAAAGUGCAAAACCAAUCAAGUUACAAGAUGUAACAUAUUAUUACGGCUUCUUGUCGAUGGAAAGUAGUAAACAUAUAUACUUAAAUGUGGAUCGACUCAGAUCGACUCAUGGACAACGUACCUUUUCUACGCUUCGAUUGAAUGCCGGCGAGAGGUUUCUGUUCACCAUAGGAGUAAGGAAGCACUCGGCUAGCACUUCAUCGAUCUCUCUACUAAAAUUGGACUUAGUGUGUUGUGUGAUUGUUUCUUCCCAUGGGAGUAUGGGAGUGCUUGAUCAGUAUAUAAGUUGGAAUCUGUAUGCAUAGGUCGAUCCCUUGUAUUUCAAGAAUGGAGAGGACUUCGGUACCCAUAUAUAUGCAGGGACAAAACCACAUUGAAGGGGUU
rnacentral:lncRNA from 1 species